UGGGGAAUCUUGCGCCAAUGCGCGAAAGCGUGACGCAGCGACGCCGCGUGGGGGAUGAAGGCCCUCGGGUUGUAAACCCCUUUCGCCAGGGACGAAGCGAAAGUGACGGUACCUGGAGAAGAAGUCCCGGCUAACUACGUGCCAGCAGCCGCGGUAACACGUAGGGGACGAGCGUUGUCCGGAUUCAUUGGGCGUAAAGCGCGCGUAGGCGGUCGUGCAAGUCGGUUGUGAAAUCCCGGGGCUCAACCCCGGGACUGCGUCCGAUACUGUGCGACUGGAGGCAGGUAGGGGAGAUCGGAAUUCCUGGUGUAGCGGUGAAAUGCGCAGAUAUCAGGAGGAACACCGGUGGCGAAGGCGGAUCUCUGGGCCUUGCCUGACGCUGAGGCGCGAAAGCUAGGGGAGCGAACAGGAUUAGAUACCCUGGUAGUCCUAGCCGUAAACGUUGGGUGCUAGGUGUGGGCGGACAUCGACCCCGUCCGUGCCGAAGCUAACGCAUUAAGCACCCCGCCUGGGGA
rnacentral:rRNA from 1 species